rnacentral:rRNA from 1 species
UACGUAGGGGGCAAGCGUUAUCCGGAUUUACUGGGUGUAAAGGGAGCGUAGACGGCAGAGCAAGUCUGAAGUGAAAGCCCGCGGCCCAACUGCGGGACUGCUUUGGAAACUGCCCGGCUAGAGUGCUGGAGAGGUAAGCGGAAUUCCUAGUGUAGCGGUGAAAUGCGUAGAUAUUAGGAGGAACACCAGUGGCGAAGGCAGCUUACUGGACAGUAACUGACGUUGAGGCUCGAAAGCGUGGGGAGCAAACAGG